rnacentral:pre_miRNA from 1 species
CAGGGCAGGGUUUUUUCUCAGCUACGUCGGUAUAAAUCCAGAGCAACUCCACUGAGAUUCACACCAGAAUAACUGAGAGCAGAAUCUGGCCAA